rnacentral:rRNA from 1 species
AGGGCGGGACACGUGGUAUCCUGUCUGAAUAUGGGGGGACCAUCCUCCAAGGCUAAAUACUCCUGACUGACCGAUAGUGAACCAGUACCGUGAGGGAAAGGCGAAAAGAACCCCGGCGAGGGGAGUGAAAAAGAACCUGAAACCGUGUACGUACAAGCAGUGGGAGCCCCACCACUAAGCCAGUGGUGAACUCCACAUACGCAUCCUUUGCUGAGGAUACGGUUAACGGAGCGAAAGCGACGUUCAACCUCAAAAGAAGCAGAGGGGGCUUAGUGGUGGGGUGACUGCGUACCUUUUGUAUAAUGGGUCAGCGACUUAUAUUCUGUAGCAAGGUUAACCGUAUAGGGGAGCCGGAGGGAAACCGAGUCUUAACCGGGCGUUAAGUUGCAGGGUAUAGACCCGAAACCCGGUGAUCUAGCCAUGGGCAGGUUGAAGGUUGGGUAACACUAACUGGAGGACCGAACCGACUAAUGUUGAAAAAUUAGCGGAUGACCUGUGGCUGGGGGUGAAAGGCCAAUCAAACCGGGAG